rnacentral:rRNA from 1 species
GUUGUAUGGUUAAGUGACUAAGCGUACACGGUGGAUGCCUGGGCAGUCAGAGGCGAUGAAGGACGUACUAACUUGCGAUAAGCGCAGAUAAGGCAGUAAGAGCCGUUUGAGUCUGCGAUUUCCGAAUGGGGAAACCCAACUGCAUAAGCAGUUACUGUUAACUGAAUACAUAGGUUAACAGAGCAAACCGGGGGAACUGAAACAUCUAAGUACCCCGAGGAGAAGAAAUCAACCGAGAUUCCGGUAGUAGCGGCGAGCGAACCUGGAUUAGCCCUUAAGCACUCGGUGAAGUAGGUGAACAAGCUGGAAAGCUUGGCGAUACAGGGUGAUAGCCCCGUAACCGACGCUUCAUCGAGCGUGAAAUCGAGUAGGGCGGGACACGUGAUAUCCUGUCUGAAUAUGGGGGGACCAUCCUCCAAGGCUAAAUACUCCUGACUGACCGAUAGUGAACCAGUACCGUGAGGGAAAGGCGAAAAGAACCCCUGUGAGGGGAGUGAAAUAGAACCUGAAACCGUGUACGUACAAGCAGUAGGAGCACCUUCGUGGUGUGACUGCGUACCUUUUGUAUAAUGGGUCAGCGACUUAUAUUCAGUGGCAAGGUUAACCGUAUAGGGGAGCCGUAGCGAAAGCGAGUCUUAACUGGGCGCUCAGUCUCUGGAUAUAGACCCGAAACCGGGUGAUCUAGCCAUGGGCAGGUUGAAGGUUGAGUAACAUCAACUGGAGGACCGAACCGACUAAUGUUGAAAAAUUAGCGGAUGACUUGUGGCUAGGGGUGAAAGGCCAAUCAAACUCGGAGAUAGCUGGUUCUCCCCGAAAGCUAUUUAGGUAGCGCCUCGGACGAAUACUACUGGGGGUAGAGCACUGUUAAGGCUAGGGGGUCAUCCCGACUUACCAACCCUUUGCAAACUCCGAAUACCAGUAAGUACUAUCCGGGAGACACACGGCGGGUGCUAACGUCCGUCGUGGAGAGGGAAACAACCCAGACCGCCAGCUAAGGUCCCAAAGUAUUGCUAAGUGGGAAACGAUGUGGGAAGGCUCAGACAGCUAGGAUGUUGGCUUAGAAGCAGCCAUCAUUUAAAGAAAGCGUAAUAGCUCACUAGUCGAGUCGGCCUGCGCGGAAGAUGUAACGGGGCUAAGCAAUACACCGAAGCUGCGGCAAUAGUCUUUUAGAUAUUGGGUAGGGGAGCGUUCUGUAAGCCGUUGAAGGUGAAUCGUAAGGUUUGCUGGAGGUAUCAGAAGUGCGAAUGCUGACAUGAGUAACGACAAAGGGGGUGAAAAACCUCCUCGCCGGAAGACCAAGGGUUCCUGUCCAACGUUAAUCGGGGCAGGGUGAGUCGACCCCUAAGGUGAGGCCGAAAGGCGUAAUCGAUGGGAAACGGGUUAAUAUUCCCGUACUUCUGACUAUUGCGAUGGGGGGACGGAGAAGGCUAGGUGGGCCAGGCGACGGUUGUCCUGGUUCAAGUGCGUAGGCUUGAGAGUUAGGUAAAUCCGGCUCUCUCUAAGGCUGAGACACGACGUCGAGCUGCUACGGCAGUGAAGUCAUUGAUGCCAUGCUUCCAGGAAAAGCCUCUAAGCUUCAGAUAGUCAGGAAUCGUACCCCAAACCGACACAGGUGGUCGGGUAGAGAAUACCAAGGCGCUUGAGAGAACUCGGGUGAAGGAACUAGGCAAAAUGGUACCGUAACUUCGGGAGAAGGUACGCUCUUGAUGGUGAAGUCCCUCGCGGAUGGAGCUGACGAGAGUCGCAGAUACCAGGUGGCUGCAACUGUUUAUUAAAAACACAGCACUGUGCAAAAUCGCAAGAUGACGUAUACGGUGUGACGCCUGCCCGGUGCCGGAAGGUUAAUUGAUGGGGUUAGCGCAAGCGAAGCUCUUGAUCGAAGCCCCGGUAAACGGCGGCCGUAACUAUAACGGUCCUAAGGUAGCGAAAUUCCUUGUCGGGUAAGUUCCGACCUGCACGAAUGGCGUAAUGAUGGCCACGCUGUCUCCACCCGAGACUCAGUGAAAUUGAAAUCGCUGUGAAGAUGCAGUGUACCCGCGGCUAGACGGAAAGACCCCGUGAACCUUUACUACAGCUUGGCACUGAACAUUGAACCUACAUGUGUAGGAUAGGUGGGAGGCUAUGAAGACGUGACGCCAGUUGCGUUGGAGCCGUCCUUGAAAUACCACCCUUGUAUGUUUGAUGUUCUAACUUAGACCCGUUAUCCGGGUUGAGGACAGUGCCUGGUGGGUAGUUUGACUGGGGCGGUCUCCUCCCAAAGAGUAACGGAGGAGCACGAAGGUGGGCUAAUCACGGUUGGACAUCGUGAGGUUAGUGCAAUGGCAUAAGCCGCUUAACUGCGAGAAUGACGGUUCGAGCAGGUGCGAAAGCAGGUCAUAGUGAUCCGGUGGUUCUGUAUGGAAGGGCCAUCGCUCAACGGAUAAAAGGUACUCCGGGGAUAACAGGCUGAUACCGCCCAAGAGUUCAUAUCGACGGCGGUGUUUGGCACCUCGAUGUCGGCUCAUCACAUCCUGGGGCUGAAGUCGGUCCCAAGGGUAUGGCUGUUCGCCAUUUAAAGUGGUACGCGAGCUGGGUUUAGAACGUCGUGAGACAGUUCGGUCCCUAUCUGCCGUGGGCGUUGGAAGAUUGAAGGGGGCUGCUCCUAGUACGAGAGGACCGGAGUGGACGAACCUCUGGUGUUCGGGUUGUGUCGCCAGACGCAUUGCCCGGUAGCUAAGUUCGGAAUUGAUAAGCGCUGAAAGCAUCUAAGCGCGAAGCGAGCCCUGAGAUGAGUCUUCCCUGAUACUUUAAGUAUCCUAAAGGGUUGUUCGAGACUAGAACGUUGAUAGGCAGGGUGUGUAAGCGUUGUGAGGCGUUGAGCUAACCUGUACUAAUUGCCCGUGAGGCUUAACCAUACAACACCCAAGGGGUUUUGUA